rnacentral:rRNA from 1 species
AGCGUGGGGAGCAAACAGGAUGAGAACCCUGGUAGUCCACGCCGUAAACGAUGUCGAUUUGGAGGUUGAGCCCUUGAGGCGUGGCUUCCGGAGCUAACGCGUUAAAUCGACCGCCUGGGGAGUACGGCCGCAAGGUUAAAACUCAAAUGAAUUGACGGGGGCCCGCACAAGCGGUGGAGCAUGUGGUUUAAUUCGAUGCAACGCGAAGAACCUUACCUGGUCUUGACAUCCACAGAACUUUCCAGAGAUGGAUUGGUGCCUUCGGGAACUGUGAGACAGGUGCUGCAUGGCUGUCGUCAGCUCGUGUUGUGAAAUGUUGGGUUAAGUCCCGCAACGAGCGCAACCCUUAUCCUUUGUUGCCAGCGGUCCGGCCGGGAACUCAAAGGAGACUGCCAGUGAUAAACUGGAGGAAGGUGGGGAUGACGUCAAGUCAUCAUGGCCCUUACGACCAGGGCUACACACGUGCUACAAUGGCGCAUACAAAGAGAAGCGACCUCGCGAGAGCAAGCGGACCUCAUAAAGUGCGUCGUAGUCCGGAUUGGAGUCUGCAACUCGACUCCAUGAAGUCGGAAUCGCUAGUAAUCGUAGAUCAGAAUGCUACGGUGAAUACGUUCCCGGGCCUUGUACACACCGCCCGUCACACCAUGGGAGUGGGUUGCAAAAGAAGUAGGUAGCUUAACCUUCGGGAGGGCGCUUACCACUUUGUGAUUCAUGACUGGGGUGAAGUCGUAACAAAGG